rnacentral:lncRNA from 10 species
GUCCUUCCCCAGUCUCUGCCCCACCUGCCUUCUCGGCAGGGCUGUCUGCACGGCUCUGCCCGGGCUUCAGGCUCCAGGCUUCUGUCAAGGGGGUGGAGGACUCCUGACUGCAGGAUAGACACAGGCAGCUAUGGGCAGCUCACUGGAGUUAGGUGGUGUGUGCCAUUCCCCCUGCCAGGAGCUCACCGGCCUCACCCAAGCUCGCAGCAUUGUGCCGGGAAAGGAUGUUCUCGGCUCCGGCCUUUUUCCUCCUCUCCUGGGGACAGAACAUGGAUCCUGGAAGGCAUUGAGGACCCUGUGCUCAGCCCCUGCCCAUCCCUUCCACCACUUAUCUGUCCUGUAGGCACACUGACGCGGCUUUCACAAAAUGGGAGGCUCUGAGAGGUGAGCUCCCAGGAGACAGGACCAAGGUCUGCCUUCAUCCUGAAGUUUGCAGGGCAGAGGCCCAGAUCCUGCAAAGGUGAUGUGCUCAGGAAGCCACAGCGGAGCCCCACACGCACCAUCAACUGUGCAACACCUGACUUCAGAAACAGACGUCUAGAGCCCUGCCUGAUGGAGCCAGGACCAGCUUGCCUGGUGGAUCUGUGCCCUGGGGACCCGCUUGGGCUCUAGCACAGCAUGUGCUGUAGAGUCAAGCACACAUGAGGUGGCCCCACUGCCCUGCAGACCACAGAUGCAGCCCCAGCUCACCAUUGACAUCUGUCCCCAGUCAGACCUCUUUACGCAGCAUUCUAGCCUCUCGUUCUCUGCCACACCCAUUGCCCCACUCACCCCGCCCUCUCCACUCACUGGAGCUGCCCAGCAUCCUCAUCCCUCUUCUAAGCAACAUGCCUUCCUCCCCAUACCCAACAUCUUUGCCUGGAAUGAGUUUUCCUUGCCCAACUCUCUACCUAUCCCUAAGGCCCAAGUAAGGGGAGAGGGAGAGGAAGUAGGGGGUAGGAGUGUUAGAUUGUAUUGAUGACCUACGUUCUAGCCCCUCAAGAGGCACUUGACAUCUGGUCCCUCAAGGACUCUACUCUGUGGGACAUUCCUUGGCUAAACUUGUCUCCUAGACUAAUUUCUCCCCCACACGCAGAUCCACCAGUCAGGCUUCCCCCAUUACCUCCAGGCACCCCUGGAGAAAUUUGUCCCCACCCACCCACCACCAAGACUUGAGUCUUAUUCACCAGUGAUCAGUGACUCACUUUAAACCAGCGCUAUCUGAGACGUAGGGCGCCAGCAAUCGAUGUCAUUUUAAAUUUUCUAGGAGCCAUAUUUUUAAAAGGAAAAAGAAACUGAUUAUUCAACAGAACAUAUCCAAAAAUGAUCAUGUAGACGUGCGUUUAACAUAAACACUUAUUAAUG